AGAGUUUGAUCCUGGCUCAGAACGAACGCUGGCGGCGUGCCUAACACAUGCAAGUCGAACGGGGAUAGGGAGCUUGCUUCCUAUUCUAGUGGCGCACGGGUGAGUAACGCGUAGAUAAUCUGCCUGAUGAUCUGGGAUAACACUUCGAAAGAGGUGCUAAUACCGGAUAAGCCCACGGGGUCUUUGGAUCUUGCGGGAAA
rnacentral:rRNA from 1 species